rnacentral:rRNA from 1 species
UACGUAGGGGGCAAGCGUUGUCCGGAUUUAUUGGGCGUAAAGAGCUCGUAGGCGGUUUGGUAAGUCUGGUGUGAAAUCUCCACGCUCAACGUGGAGGGGCCACCCGAUACUACCAUGACUGGAGUCCGGUAGAGGAGUGUGGAAUUCCCGGUGUAGCGGUGAAAUGCGCAGAUAUCGGGAGGAACACCCGUAGCGAAGGCGGCACUCUGGGCCGGUACUGACGCUGAGGUGCGAAAGCGUAGGGAGCAAACAGG